UUAUAGUUUCACAUAUUCAAUAAUCCUCAAUAAUUCAUUCAGUGACUGAACCAGAUUUUUCUGUUUUUCUAGAUUUUCUAUUAAUGUCCACGUUGACACCUCUGUAAUCAGAUUCAGGGGUUUUAUUUACAGAAUAUAAUAUUCUAAUAAUAUUCUGUUUAAUCUUGGUUGUUACAUCAGAAUGAGGCCUGGCUUUGAGCACUGAGGCUCCUUUGACACCUGGAGGUCAUUUCACUCUGAAACCUUCCUGAGGACACGUGUGACAUCAGUGAGGGUAUAAAUAGGAGAUAUUACAUGCAAGAAUUAUUAUAUUAAUGAGCUCAUUUCUUUUCCAGGCUGAGUCUGCCGCCAUCACAGAACAGACACUCUUCAGCGUGUUAAACUAAGGGGAAAAAACUUGACAGUGAACGCACCUUCAGACCAAAUAUGUAACCAUUUAUUGUUAGAAUCAUCCUUCCAAUACAGAACACAGCUAAUACAGAUUAAAAACAACAACAAGAGAACAGUAUUGUGUCGGAGUUGGAUGGUUGCGUCGAGAAAAAUACAGCAAGAUUUUUUUAUUUUGAGAAAAUCGUCAUGUGGUCAUUCAGGAGAAAAAAUAUAGAAGGCAAAGACUUACAGUAUAAAAUGUACAGCCACAUGAUUAUAUAAUAUAUAAUAUAUAUAUAACAUUGCACAUUAUACCAAAAAACAGGAACCACACAUGAAAAACAAAAGAAGUGUACACAAUAUACAACAAACAAGGCACUGUGGAAGAAACCUGCACGCGUCUUUGGAUGGAUCUGCCGCCCGCGGAGCUCCGGUGAAAUGUUGUAGGAAUGUUACACUGCAAACCGUCCAACCGAGGAAGUCAUCCAAACUAAAA